rnacentral:tRNA from 1 species
GGGGGUAUAGCUCAGUGGUAGAGCACCCGCAUACGUAUCGGGGGUUCGACAGGUCGGGGGUUCGACUCCCUCUGCCCCCA